ACAUGUUAAACAUAUAUGUGCACUGAUAAUACUAUAAAGUUACAACUAAUUUUUAAUUGAGGUAGUAUGAUUUUUACACAGAAAAGUUGUGAAAUUUCACUCACCAAAUUAUUAUGUUUACAUUGAAUCCUCUGCUCUCUCAAUAAUACUCAAAUCCUGUUAUUUAAUUGUUUCUUUAGGUUUGUCAUUGGCAGGCUAAUCUUACAUAAUAUAAUAGCAUAACAAAAUGCAUUUAUUUACCGAAUUCUUGCUUUUGUAUAUUUCAAAAAAAAAAAAAAAAAUUCUUGCUUUUGUAUAAUACUUUGUAAUAUUUCGAUAAAUUGGCUGAUUGGAUCUAUCUUAGCGUUUAUUUGGUUUUUUAAAUUGGAAUGUAUAGAAUCUCAUACCAAGAAUAUAUAUAUAUAUAUAUGGAGUGGAUCAUGUGAAAACAACUCUUAUACUGAAAACAAUUUAUCCUAGCCGUAGAUUAUAAUCUAACGGAUGACAUUCCAUCUAACGUUUAAACGCAUUUUCAUACAUUUUACCCCCUCACAGUUGACAGUAGUAUUAUCUCUCCUCUCGACCUUCCGUUUUUUUCUUUUUUCUCAUCUCUUUCCUCAACAAUUUGGGAAUUCUUUCUUCUCAACAUUGUUGAUUUCUUCUUCGAUUCAUCAAAUUUUCUUCUACAAUUUGCAAUUAAGCUAGCAGGUAGUAACUUUUUCUGGGAAUUAAAUUCGAGAUUCGAAAGUGAACAAGUUAUAAUACUUGGCUUUAUUGUUGCUGUUUGCUUAGGUGGCUGCUCGUGGUGUGGUUCCGGAGUUGUUGCUGCUUAAAUAGUUGUUUGGUGAGCGGUGCAGCGGCCGAGAUUUGGUGCGGUGGCGAGCUGCUAGUUGCAUGGUGAUCCACGGUAGCUGACUAGCUGGUAGUGCGGAGGUGGAGCUACUUGAGUGAUAGGCUUACAUAUAGUAACUCUUUUGUGGCAUGGGGUGAUAUCUUGUUUUUAUACUAGUACGGAGUAGUAUAUAGUGACCUUUAUUUGUAUAUACUUGUCCAUAUUAAGGAUAUGGAUACCUUGUUUUUAUAUUUAGUGAACUUAAUUUGCAUAUAGAAACCGAAAUCAUUAAUAUAGUUACCUUAUUUUUAGAUA